AUUCACAUAUGUGUGAAAUUCACAUAUGUGUGAAUCCCAUUCACAUGUGUGAAUCCCAUUCACAUAUGUGUGAAUCCCAUUCACAUAUGUGUGAAUCCCAUUCACAUAUGUGUGAAU
rnacentral:miRNA from 1 species